CAAGCGGUGGAUGAUGUGGAUUAAUUCGAUGCAACGCGAAGAACCUUACUACCCUUGACAUGUCCGGAACUUGCCAGAGAUGGCUUGGUGCCCGAAAGGGAAUCGGAACACAGGUGCUGCAUGGCUGUCGUCAGCUCGUGUCGUGAGAUGUUGGGUUAAGUCCCGCAACGAGCGCAACCCUUAUCAUUAGUUGCUACGCAAGGGCACUCUAAUGAGACUGCCGGUGACAAACCAGAGGAAGUGGGGAUGACGUCAAGUCCUCAUGGCCUUUAUGCCCAGGGCUACACACGUGCUACAAUGGGUGGUACAAAGAGUAGCGAUGCCGCGAGGUGAAGCCAAUCCCAAAAAGCCGUCCACAGUUCGGAUUGGAGUCUGCAACUCGACUCCAUGAAGCCGGAAUCGCUAGUAAUCGUGGAUCAGCAUGCCACGGUGAAUACGUUCCCGGGCCUU
rnacentral:rRNA from 1 species